CUAUCAUCCGUUGUGGCCGUGCAAUAAUUUUAUUUCAGUUUGCUUUAUUGAACGGUCGUCCCUCGUUAUGUCAUUGUGUUCGUUGGUUUAGAUAAGUCUAGGUCUGGUUUGUUGACGUCCAUCAGUUUGAUCACACCUUUAUUUUUUUUCUGUCAACAAAUCGUGCUCUGGUUGCAUGCCCCUAGAGUUGUGCGUGGACACAAGCUUUUGUGCUGAAUACAUAAACGACUGCCUAGUGGAGCUCAUUGAUCGUUUCCAUCGGUGCUCCUGCUAGAUUUUAGGAAACAAAAUUUUAGCCGAGUCCAGAUUUCCUUGAAACAAAAUAUAUUAAAACAAUUGAUUUUGGCUAGUCGCACAAAGCUUCAGAUUUCUGUUGUGGAAGCACGCAGAGAAGGAAAGAUUCUGUUCAUCUAAAAGGCAGUAAAAUAUCUCCUUGACGGCUGUAGGUUUGGGCUCAGUUUCUUUUGCCGUGGGUUACAAAUCAGUUAGUUGCGUAUCUGGUACUUUGUACAUUGCGGCAUAUUCUGUAAAAAAAAAGUAAAAGGCAACGAGCUGGAAAAAAAAGAGAGAGAGUAAAAGCUGCAGCAAAAAAAAAGUGAAAAGAAUUUCAGAAGUGCUUGCAUCCUUUGAGUCUCCACGCCGAGUUGUAUUGUUGCUUGCUUGAACUAGGUCCUGGAUAAGUUUGGGCCGGCGACAUAGACUAGCUUGGGACUACUUUUCAAUCUUGCAAUUUCUGAAUUAAAUUAUUGCUAUUCCUUGCUACUAUAUUUUAAGCCUUCCUAGAGCUCCAC
rnacentral:lncRNA from 1 species